rnacentral:lncRNA from 1 species
CCCCUAAGCUCCUGCCUCAGUCAGAACAUGGAGCGAAGGAGGGACAGGGCCCAGUCUCCCAUAAGUCUGCCCUUCCUCCAACCAUUCCUUCCCACAGCGUCAAGAUUAGAAAAAUUUAACUAUAUGGUUCUUCCCCUGGCGCUGAACAGAGACCCCCCACCACAUCCAAAAAGGAAGUGGGGGAGGCAGAUGUGGAAAAAGGAAUUGCACUGAAGCCCCCUUCCAGUGAAGGGGUAAGGAUGCAGGAAGAGGUGGAGGGCUCUUGGAGAGACAUACAAGAAGCAGCCACUCACGUCCUGCCUGUCUAUCUCUCCACAUCUCUGAAGGCUGCGGGACUACACCAGAUGUCUCCUAAAGCAAAAUGAGUGGCCACUCGUCCUGAGUCACAGACUUCAGCACGCUCUUCUUGAAGCUGUCCUGGGCAUCUCCCGUAUCAAAACCUCAUACUAGAUGAAACAGACUUUCUCACAGUUAAAGAUGAUGUCCAUCUCGCACAUGCUGGGCAAGUAUUCGUCCAGGAGCUCACCACCUCGGUGAGUCAGCUCCAGCAUGAGGAGCUCAUUGUCCCGGCGCUCAAAGGCGCAGCAGAGGUAGAGGCUGGCAUAUCUUUUAUAGACGAUUUUAAGGUCCGUUCUCUCCAGGAAGCCGCACACCAUGAGCUUGCAAGCCAGAACGACCGUGUAAGUUCUCAAGCCACCUUAUUUCGUUGUUUGUCUGACAAGGCCAUGUACCACUGUAGCAGCCGCAACUCCUCCAGCCCGCCGAACAGUUUCAAGAAUCCCAUUAACUUGCAGCCGGCUGCUCUGCAUGUCCCUCUUCAGCCACCGUAGGCGCUCAAUCGUCUCCACCUCUUUUUUUUUCUUCCUGGCGUGAAGCCGUGUCUGUGCCAGAAACUUUGUUCGAAGCCUCCUACGUGUGCGGGGGAGUUUCCAAGACGUCGGGUUGAAAGCAGUGAAAGGAAGAAGAGAGGAAUGGUUUUUAUCCAUGCUUAAUUCUCUGUGUAUUGCUGGGGUAGUGUUGGCACGCAAUAAGGAAUCCCCAUGGAGAUUUUCAGGAAUUGAUGGUCAAGGUCAUGUGGACCAGAAGCUCCUUUCUCUCAGGAGAGUCAUCUUCCAGGGACCACCUUGCAACUGCCAUCAGGAGAAAGCCGCCAUAACCCCAAAGCCCCUGCUGACUUCGAAACCACUCACUACCUACCAUGAUCCACCAGUACAGUAUGAAUGCUUUCACCCAGCCUGUUGAAAUCCUAAAAAUUGCAUUUGGACACUGGAUCCUCUGGCAGAGUUACCGAGGGAAAAAAGCCUCUAUGGCUGGGUUAGCCAGAAAAAAAAUAUAGAAAUAGCAAAAUCAACCCUCAUGAUACCUCCACUUUACUAAACGUUCCCAGAGUUAAGUAAAGGUACCCAACUCCAUAAACCAAAAUCACAGGUUAACAAUAGUAAAACAUAGGAAAUACAGAUUCUAACUUUCCUGACUCUGUAGAAGGCAUGUUGAAUAGAAUUUAAAUGCAAAUCAAAUGUAAGCAUUCUUUAAAAGUAGUUAUUCCUUAAAUUUGAUAGAUAUAUCACUUACAAUAUACUAGUUUUGUACAACCUAUUUAUAAGACAUUUGAUGACAGAGAAAGGAGUUGACUAAAAUGGAGACUACAAACUAUGUUAUGCUCAAGUACAUAUCAUAUUUUAGACCUGUUAUACAAACAUCAGAGUUAGUAGGGAUCAAAAUUAGUACGGCAAAUCAGAAACACUCAAGUGAUUCACAUUCACUUACAUUGGGUUUUACUUUCAGUAAGACACAUAAGCAGAAUACAGAUUAGAAAACAUAUUUUGCCUCCAAACUACUAAUUUGCAGACUCUUGUCAAGAGACAAAAGUACUAUCCUGAAAUACAACACUCUGGGUCCUAGUCCUGAAGCUGCCACUUUUAGAUUGUGGCAUUUAAUCCCACUACAACAGUAAUUUCGUCUGUAAAAUUAAUAGGUUUGAGCAGGAAAUCUCAUACAUUGUAUGUGAGAAGGUGAGUGAAAGAUGUUUUAUUUCAUAUAUACACCUGCAAAAAGCAAUCCUGAAGAGAUUUUAGUCCUAAAAGGAAAGAUUUGUAUAUAAUAGAAGAAAGAAUACAAUGCUUGGUUAUUUUUACUCAUUUUGCGCUUCUUAAGACUAAUUUAGUUUGGCACUGAAGGAAAUUAGUGUCAAACUCUAAGUCAGGAUUUAAAAGUUUAAAUCCAACCUGACAUCUGGACAGAAUGUUAGUUUUAGCUGAAGGGUAUAUCUUGUCUUAUUUUCAUUUUGAAUAUUAAUUUGUAAUAUAUUGCAUUCAAAAGAUAUUUGGAGGAAAAUGAUAUUUGGUAUAUUAAUGUUAUACAUAGGUGCCAAACCAGAGACUUGGGAAAAUAACUUUCAUAAAUGGAAUUGCAAAAAUUAUUUUCAUUUAUUUUUUAACACCUGUCCUAUUGACCACAGAUUCAAGCAUAACAUUAAGUGAUUUGACUAAAGCACUUCUUCAUUCAAAUAUAUCACACAUCAUUAAGGUUUGCUAAAUUAAAAAAAAAUGAAUUCAUUACUUAAAUAUUUUAGUUUACAUCUCCAGGUGUUUAUGUAAUGACUUAGAAUUAUGUUAAAUACUGCUCUCCAAAGUAUUCAUGUCAAAUUUUUCACUAACUUGUUCUGACUGCCAUGGAAAUUUGAGAAUUGGUUUCUGAAUAAUUUACUCUGCCCCCUAUAUGAUACUUUCUUUUUACUAUAAACUUAGCACCACUUAGUAUGGAGACUUACAAAAAAACAACUUAAAAUAUCAUUGUCAAUAUCUAAUAUAUUAGUAGGUGAGAAAGUUUGUGAACUUGAAUUCUCAUGAAGUUAUUCCCAAACCUGCAUUUUGUGCUUUUCCUUCAGUGAUUACUAUAAUUUUAGAAAAUUAUUUUUAUAGUCCUCCUUUAAAUAUUAUCACCAUUGCACUGGUAGCUCCUGGAAAACAGAGCAUGUUUUAUUACUGAUUUUCACUGUUGUGACUACUUAUGAUUAGAAGAAUACUUCUGGCAUUGUCUUUUUUUCAGUAAAUAUUUGUAGAAGGAAUGAAUAAAAGAAAUAAAAAGACAGAUGGAAAGGGAAGG